CCUAUCUUGGCUAUUGUGAGUGGUGCUGCAAUAAACACGGAGGUGCAGAUGUCUCUUUUAUAUACAAAUUUCCUCUCCUCUGGAUAAAUGCCCAGGGACAUUUGCUACCAUGGAUUCGGGGACAAGAUGAUGAUGGAGCUGAGGCAACAAAACUCUCCUCAUGUGAUUGUCUCCAUGGGAAGACAUAGAGUUGGGAAAGGCCUCUACUCUUCUUGUAGUUUAAGCUGCCUCCAUCUGGUUGUGAUGGCCUCCCCUGAUGUGUCAGCCUCUACAUAAGGGGUGUACUUGUGAAGUUUCACACUAGACCUAUGUGUCCAAUAUCCUCUCAGUCUCCAAGGGCUCUUCCAUUUAACACCUUUUCUCCUUCAACCUUGCCAUGAACACAUCUUCAAAAUCAGGAGACACGGGCCAGCAUUUCCCUCUUCUUUUCUAUUAUGAGGGAAGAGAGCUGAAAAGAAAAGCAUGUCAUACAUAUAGCAACAGAAGUCUCCAGAUUCUAGCUUUGUACCGUGGCAGUCUCAUAACCAAUGAGGUUUAUUCGAGGCGUGAUUACUGCUAAUUAAAAACUUUUUCCAAUACCCCAUCAUCAUGACUUGAAAUAUAGCUGGCAUAGGCAAUUUUUGACAGUCUCUAUGGAGACUUAACUAUCUCAGGUUUAAAAAAAGCUGACAAUUUUUUUUUAAGUCUCCAGAUUCUGCAGCUAAGUAAGUACUUGAAGGGAAAGGGUGUCAGUCUCCUCUUUUUCAAGACACCCCCAACCUUCAUGAGCAUUUUAUCAAAGCUGACUCACUUGGCUCCAUUAAUGGAAAAGCACCACUGCCACCUUCUCAAGGACAGACAUAGGAGAGAGGACCUCCAACCACAAAUUGUGAAAGUUGUUCCUCCAAGUUCCUGGGAUGCAGGAGGAAAUCAGGGGACAGGGGGAGAUGGUAACUAGUGGUAGUAGUAGGGAUAAAUGCCACUCAGCAUGCACUGGCAACUAUUAGUGGCUUAGGAAUACUUAGUGCCUUGUGUCCUCAGCUUUGGGUUUUAGCCACAAUUCUGAGACAACAGGAAAAAUCAAACUCCACUUUCUCUUACAUAUGCAAUAGAUAUUAGAAGCAGCCUUAAAUUUAUGCCUUAAAAUUUCCAUCCAAACAUAGUA
rnacentral:lncRNA from 10 species